rnacentral:rRNA from 1 species
GAUGAACGCUGGCGGCGUGCCUAACACAUGCAAGUCGAGCGUGAUGCUCUGGAUUGAAGCUUCGGCUGAUUGAAAGAGUUGAAAGCGGCGGACGGGUGAGUAACGCGUAGGCAACCUGCCCCUUACAGAGGGAUAGCCACUGGAAACGGUGAUUAAUACCUCAUAAUGCGAGAGAACCUCCUGGCUCUUUCGCCAAAGAUUUAUCGGUAAGGGAUGGGCCUGCGUCUGAUUAGCUAGUUGGUGAGGUAACGGCCCACCAAGGCGACGAUCAGUAGCCGGCCUGAGAGGGUGAACGGCCACAUUGGGACUGAGACACGGCCCAAACUCCUACGGGAGGCAGCAGUGGGGAAUAUUGCACAAUGGGGGAAACCCUGAUGCAGCGACGCCGCGUGAGUGAAGAAGUAUUCGGUAUGUAAAGCUCUAUCAGCAGGGAAGAAAAUGACGGUACCUGACUAAGAAGCCCGGCUAACUACGUGCCAGCAGCCGACGG